AUGGCUUGAAUCCAAGGAAUCUGGAUCCGUUGUUUAUGUGAAUUUUGGCAGCAUCACAGUUAUGUCUGCAGAACAACUCUUGGAGUUUGCUUGGGGUUUGGCCAACAGCAAGAAACCCUUUUUGUGGAUCAUUAGGCCUGACCUUGUCAUUGGUGGAUCCGUGAUUUUGUCAUCUGAGUUUGUGAAUGAAACAAGAGACAGAAGCCUAAUAGCAAGUUGGUGUCCACAAGAGCAAGUGCUGAACCAUCCUUCAAUUUGUGGAUUCUUGACUCAUUGUGGAUGGAACUCAACUACUGAAAGUGUUUGUGCUGGAGUGCCAAUGUUGUGUUGGCCAUUUUUUGCAGAUCAGCCAACAAACUGUAGAUAUAUCUGCAAUGAAUGGGAGAUUGGGAUUCAAAUUGAUACAAAUGUGAAAAGAGAGGAGGUGGAGAAGCUGGUGAGUGAAUUGAUGGUAGGAGAGAAGGGAAAGAAGAUGAGAGAAAAGACCAUGGGGUUAAAGAAGAAGGCAGAGGAGGCCACCAGGCCCAGUGGGUGUUCAUACAUGAACUUGGACAAAGUAAUUAAGAAGGUGUUGCUUCAUUAGACAUUGUUAGAUUGAAGGUUUUUUUUUUCUUUUUCAUAAUGCUUUAAUUUACUAUGAUAGUUCGUUGAUCUUCUCUAGAAUUUCUGCAUUGUAGAAAUAGUGCCCUGGUUACAGGUGCUAGUUUGUGGCAUGUAAUAUGUAAGUCUUGGCAUUUCAAUCAGUGAUUUUUUCCUGUCUUUAGCUUAAUUGGUGCGCAAUAUAAAAAAGAAAUAGAAACAGCAGCAACUAAAACGGAAAGCAAGACAAGGCCCAGCUCAUGAAUUUGUCACCGCUACUAGAAAUUAUUAGUUGAUCUAGCUAAUCAGCUGUCCAGUCCUCAAUUAAUAUUUAUAUAAAUUAAAUAAUUAGUAAUAUUUAAUUAUUUGUCAGAUAAAGAUUAAUAGGAUAAGAAGCAUAAUUAUUUAAGACUAUCUACUUUUAUUUUAAUGUAUAUAGUUAAAUACCAUUUCAAAAUUUAAGUAAAAUUAUCUUAAUAGUAAAGUUUCAAAUGAAAGAAACAUUUUUUUUCUUCUAAAAACUAAAUGAUCGAUAUAUAUUUAUUAAGAACAACUCAAGCACAAGUUGUGCCCAAAUGUCAGUACAAAGUACACAUAAUGCUACAAUGCUAUAUGCUUUGCAAAUAUAAUAGCCAUAAAGCGAGGACAAAAACAUAUGGACCCUGGACCAUUAAGAUACGUUGCUUCUAUGUCCAAGAAACAAUUUCCAUCACAUGUUAAUUCUUUCACUUCUAUGGCUAUGUUUGGUUUGCCAAUGGAGAACUCCAAACUCAAUUUGGAGAGGAGCAACUAUUGAGUGUAUUUUUGGAUUUAAGUUCAAAAUGUGAUAUAUGAAUUUUGAAAUAAAUGUAAUGAUACACAAAUUCAAUUUUACAAAAUGAAGGGUCUAGAUGCUUUUGAAAACUUCAUUCACCUGAAAAACAAGCAUGCAUCGAGAUACUUUUACCAACUUAAUUUACAAACUUAAAUAAAUUGAUCCAAACUUAAGUUUCUAGAGUUCAAUUGAAACAUGCACUAUUUCUUUCCCUCUCCACAGACCUGGGACGAGCUAUUGGGUGGUCUCCACAAACGAUGCAUGGGUUAUCCGCCAAACAUUUUAACGAUAGACGGGUCAAUUUCUUGCAAGCAGGCAAGCAUUAGCAUUUUGCACUGUCCAGUAGUGACCACCGAACAUUAAUUUUAUCAAAGAGUUUGUUUUUCUUCUCUCUUUUUUUCACUAUCAUUUGAUAUUCUUUGCCAUUAGAAAAUCACCGCUUGUAUACUGUUAUUAUAUAUGAAAUAAAUUUCGUCAAGUAAAGGAAACUAGCUAGCAAAAUUCUCUUCCUCUCCUAGUUUUGUUUUAAUUUUUUAUUUUUUAUUCAUAUUUCCCUCGUGUUGUGAGAAAAUUGUUUUUGAGAGCAUAAUUCAGUGAGCUAUAUUAUUGACGUGAAGUAGUAGAGGCUUAUCCGUUGCCUCAACUUAACUGAAGAAAAGAAAACCAAAGAUGAGCUACAAAAUACAAUGAAGAAAUAAAACCGCAUGCAGCUCAAGGCCAUGUGAACCCGUUGCUAAAACUAGCAAAGCUGCUUCAUCUGAGAGGCUUUGACAUAACCUUUGUUCACACUGAAUACAACUAGAAACGCUUGCGCAAAUCAAGGGGUCCUAAUGCCCUUGAUGGCCUGCCAAACUUUCGAUUUGAGACCAUCCCAGAUGGUCUUCCUCCCUUGGAUGAUGAUGAUAAUGGUAAUGUUACUCAGCACAUACCAUCACUUUGUGACUCUAUCAGAAAGAACUUUCUCCAACCCUUUCGCGACCUUCUUGCUAGCUGAACCAUUCUGCCACUGAAGGUCUCAUCCCCCCAGUUACUUGCUUAGUUUCUGACGGUGGCAUGACCUUUACUAUAGAAGCUGCUCAUGAACUUGGAGUACCUAACGUUCUCUUUUGGCCUGCUAGUGCGUGUUGUUUCUUGUCCAUCAUCAACUUUCCCGCUCUGGUUGAGAAAGGUCUCACACCACUCAAAGGUACUAUCAACUUAUGCUCUUUUCCCUCUGCUUGUAUAGAAGUUUAUUUAAACAUAAACAUGGCAUUAAUGAAUUACUAACACUGGGGCUCGGCUAUACACAGGGAAGGAAAGAGAAAAAGAGAGAGUAGAUUAAUCGAUAAAGAGAAACAAAAAGAAAAGAAAAACAACAUAGUAUGUAGAUACCCAAAUAGCAUGUGGAAGUAAGAUUUAGUGGCCAGCUGACCACGUGAUUUUUAUAUUGCUAUAGACUAUAAAUAAGUGCCCACUAGUGUUUGUAUAAACUUAUGUAUUAAUAUUAAUUCAUGCAUGGAGCUUUAAUAUAAGCUAUCGGCUGUGUUUAUGAUAUAUAUGCAGAUGAGAGUUACUUGAAAAAUGGGUAUCUGGACUCCAAAGUAGACUGAAUUCCUGGAAUGAAGAACUUCCGGCUGAAGGACAUACCUGACUUCAUAAGGACAACGGAUCUAAAUGAUGUGAUGUUGCAAUUUUUCAUUGAAGUUGCAAAUAAAGUUCAGAGAAACUCCACUAUUCUUUUCAACACUUUUGACGAACUUGAGGGUGAUGUUAUGAUUGCUCUAUCUUCUAUGUUCCCUUCUCUUUAUCCAAUUGGUCCUUUCCCUUUACUUUUAAAUCAAAGUCCACAAAACCACUUGGCAUCUUUAGGUUCCAAUCUUUGGAAGGAAGAUCCAGAGUGUCUUGAAUGGCUUGAAUCCAAGGAAUCUGGAUCCGUUGUUUAUGUGAAUUUUGGCAGCAUCACAGUUAUGUCUGCAGAACAACUCUUGGAGUUUGCUUGGGGUUUGGCCAACAGCGAGAAGCCCUUUUUGUGGAUCAUCAGGCCUGACCUUGUCAUUGGAGGUUCCGUGAUUUUGCCGUAGGUUGUGAAUGAAACUAAAGAUAGAAGCCUGCUAAUAGCAAGUUGGUGUCCACAGGAGCAAGUACUGAACCAUCCUUCAAUUUGUGGAUUCUUGACUCAUUGUGGAUGGAACUCAACUACUGAAAGUGUUUGUGCUGGAGUUCCAAUGUGGUGUUGGCCAUUUAAUGGUGAUCAGCCAAAGAACUGUAAAUAUAUUUGCAGUGAGUGGGGAAUUGGGAUUGAAAUCGAUACCAAUGUGAAGAGAGAAGAGGUGGAGAAGCUGGUGAAUGAGUUGAUGGUGGGGGAGAAGGGAAAGAAGAUGAGAGAAAAGACCAUGGAGUUGAAGAAGAAGGCAGAGGAGGCCACCAGGCCCCGUGGUAAUUCGUAUAUGAACUUGGACAAAGUAAGUAAGGAGGUGUUGCUUAAUUGGGCAACAUUAGAAUAUUAGACUGAAGGACUUUUUUUUUUUCACGAUACUUCUUGUGUGAUAGUUCAUUGAUCUUCUCCUCUAGAAUUUUCUGCACCUUAGAAACUAGAAAUAAUGCACUGGUUACAGGUGCUAUGCAAUAAUUUGUCGUGAUGUGACAAGUGAUAUAAAAUGAUAAAAAGAAAAUCCGUAGGUAACAGUUAGUUAGGGCUUUUUUACCGACGGAUAAAAUCCGUCAAAAGUCAGUGGUACAACUUUAUUCCGACGAAUUUUUGACAUUUCCCAAGAAAUAUGUCGGUUGGAAAUAUCGACAUUUCUUUUAAUAGAUGUUUUGAAACAACAAAUCAUAAUUAAAUGGAUACACUGUGAGCGUGUCUAAAGAAUUAUUACUAUGACUACAAAGAAAACACAAACUGUUACAUAUUUAUAUUACCCACCAAUCUUUAUGUUUAUGUAAUAUAUUGGCUGAAUUUUUCAACUCACACACACAAAAAAAACUUAUUACCGGAGGCCGGCAUGGUCUCCACCAAUAGUUGCAGUAAGUCCACUAACAAUUUUAAGAUGGACGGGUCAAUUUCUAGUUUUUCAUGCACUGAGCGUUUAACUUGAUCGAAAAGUACGUUUCUUCUUCUUUUUAACUACUAGUAUUAUUUUAUAGUCCUUGCCUAAGUUGUCUUUAUAGAUUGGUAAAAUUAGUUUAAAACUUGAAAAAUUAAUAAAAGUUAAAUAAUUAACUUAUUAAAUUGUAAGAGUUUAAUAAAAUUAACGGUUAAAUUAAUUAAAAAAUAUAAAAUAAUAGAACAGUAAUAAAAUUUUGAUUUAUUUAAGAAGAAUAAAUAAAAAAAAUUAGAUAAAUAUAAUAAGAAUAGAAAUAACAAAAAUAUAAAAAAUUAAAAAAUUAAUAUUUUAAAAAUGUUAUUUCAAAUAAUAUUUUAAAAAAAUAUUAUAAACUACUAAAAAAAUUUAUCUACAUAAUCAUUAAACAAACUUUUCAACUAAAAAAAUUAAAAAUUACUUAGAAUAUCUUGUCAAAGAUAACCUAAAUACCAGGUUGAGUUAGGAUAGACUUAACUAGAAAAAGUGCGCGUGGGCAAUAUUGUGUUGGGAAGUGUUUACCGAACAGCCAAGAAAUUGCAGAUAUAUCAUAUAUACGCAGAUUACAAUGAUAUGAGCACUGACAUUGAAUGAGGUAGAGACGAGACCUGGUAAUUGGUCAAUGGUCAUACAUGAACUUGUAUUGGACAAAGUUACGUCAUUUAUAAACUUUUGCAAGUCCAGUGCAUUAUGUCACGUGAGAAAAAAGAAAAUUAUAGUUUAAUUUUAAUGCAGUAUUAAUGUAAAAUUCCUUUGUACAAUAAUACUGAAAACACUCAUUUUUUUUCAAACACUUAACUAACACUUUUAAUUUUUCUUCUCAAUAAAUCGUAAUAUCUAUUUUUUUUUCUCUCUUGCUGAGUAUCAAUUAGCAUUUUGAGAGUCCAAAAACAAUUUUCCAAUUCGUUUUAUAUCAAUAAAAAUCAGGAAACGUGCUAUAUUCCGUGAAUUUCAAAAUAAUAAUUAUAAAAUCUGUCCAAAAAAUAAUGAUUAUAAAAGUUACGUACUCGUGAUCCACGACCCUAUAUAUAGAAAGAAAAAAAACCUUUUAUAAUUAUAAUGUCAGUUUAUCUAACACUAGGUUUGACUUUUGCAAAUAUAUAUAUUGGCCUAUAGAAUAUAUAGUAAACCCCUCUUCCUCUUAUAUACGAGUUAUGUCUGCAUGCGGGUGAUGUAUGAAAAUUACUUGUGCGGGCGAGAACUAUGAAUGAUUUGAGUUGUGGUAUAUUUAUAUAUGUUGGUAACGCAGAGGCUUAACCCUUGUCUCUAAAGUCUCAACUUGAUCAAAGACAGAGACAAAUCAUAUCGUAUAUAAAAUUUGAAAAUAUUCCUGGCCGGCAGCUGACUCAAUCUCCAAAUUAAAUGGAUCUAAAGCCGCCUGAUUGAAUAAUAGUAAUAAUGUAGAUCACAGACAAUAGCAAAUAAAAUAAUACCAAUUCCAUCUCUUCCUCUCUUAUAAUAAUGACCGUGUGAGCUAGCUAGGCUUCAUCGAUGAUUCAAGAUGAGUUACACAGCAGAGACAAAGCCUCACGCUGUGUUCACUCCAUAUCCACUUCAAGGCCAUAUUAACCCAUUGUUCAAACUCGCAAAGCUGCUUCAUCUGAAAGGCUUUCACAUAACCUUUGUCCACACUGAGUACAACUACAGACGCUUCCUCAAUUCAAAGGGUCCCGACGCCCUUGAUGAGCUUCCUGAUUUUCGCUUCGAAACCAUCCCAGAUGGCCUUCCUCCCUCGGAUGGUGAUGUCAGUCAAGACAUACCCUCUCUUUGUGACUCUCUCAGAAAGAACUUCCUUCAACCCUUUCGUGACCUUCUUGCCAGACUUAACCAUUCUGCCACUACUCCCCCAGUUACUUGCUUAGUCUCUGAUUGCUUCGUCACUUUUCCUAUACAAGCUGCUCAUGAACUUGGAAUCCCUGUCCUUCUCCUUUCUCCUCUCAGUGCAGCUGCAUUCUGGGGUUUUAUGCACUAUCGCACUCUGGUUGAUAGAGGAAUCAUACCCCUCAAAGGUAUCUAUCACUUUAAUUAAGUUCUUAAUUCCACCUUUCAUAUCUGUUUAGUAUGUACUACGUAUCUUCUUCCUAUAUAUAUAUAUUAAGGUUAUUAUACAUGCAUUAAGAAAUAAUUAGUUGAAUUAAAACGUCAUAUUUAAAUUAAAAUGUCGUUAUCUAAUAUCUUGUACUAUUAAUAAUGAAUAUUCAAUAAAAAUAUGUUUUUAAAAAACAUGAAAUAAACUUUGAAAGUUUAAAACAUCAAUUGUUUUAUAAAAAUAUUAAAACAAAAAAAUAUGAAAAAAAAGUAAUAUGUGCUGCAUCUGUUAAUAGCAUGACAAAUAUGGUUAUCUGACACAGCUGUUUUGUGAUUAUGAAAUGCAGAAGAGAGUUAUCUGACAAAUGGAUAUUUGGACACCAAAGUUGACUGUAUUCCAGGUUUGCAAAAUUAUCGCCUCAAGGAUCUGCCUGACUUUUUAAGGACCACAGAUCCAAAUGAUUUCAUGCUACACUUUUUCAUUGAAGUGGCCGAAAAAGUUCCUAGUGCCUCUGCUGUUGCUUUUAAUACUUUUCAUGAGCUUGAGAGAGAUGCAAUCAAUGCUCUCCCCUCUAUGUUCCCUUCUCUUUAUUCCAUUGGUCCUUUCCCUUCAUUUUUAGAUCAAAGUCCACAUAAACAGGUCCCGUCUUUAGGAUCCAAUCUUUGGAAGGAAGAUACUGGCUGUCUUGAUUGGCUUGAAUCCAAGGAACCCAGAUCCGUUGUUUAUGUGAAUUUUGGCAGCAUCACAGUUAUGUCUGCAGAACAACUCUUGGAGUUUGCUUGGGGUUUGGCCAACAGCAAGAAACCCUUUUUGUGGAUCAUUAGGCCUGACCUUGUCAUUGGUGGCUCUGUGAUUUUGUCAUCUGAGUUUGUCAAUGAAACUAGAGACAGAAGCCUAAUAGCAAGCUGGUGUCCACAGGAGCAAGUGCUGAACCAUCCUUCAAUUGGUGUAUUCCUGACUCAUUGUGGAUGGAACUCAACU
rnacentral:lncRNA from 1 species